UCUCGAGGGAGAAUAUAUUCAUUCUAAUUUUUAUUUAGUAUUUUUCUUGCUUAUAUACAAUUUCUAAAGCUAUCUUAACCUUAAAGCGGGCGCGCGUAGUUGAAUCGACAACGCUUAGUACAUUUACGUUUAUGUUACUAUUAUUACACAUUACAUUUUGAAUAAUUUUAAUUACUUUUUUUAGACUUUAAGGACAAUGAUAAUAUAUCUAAGUACAAAUAAAUAAAUAAUUACUGAAUAAUUAGUGCUUUAUUUCUUUUAUUCAUCUCAAACGUCUUUUCGGUUACGCGCGCCCGCUUCCGUUACAAAUGACCGCGCGCCCGCUUGAAGGUUAAAUAACUAAAUAUAUGUGUAUGUGUUAAUGUAUUGCAGCAUAUUUUUUAUUGCUGCUUGACAUGGGGUUGAUUUCAAGUGUACAAUUUAAUACAUGUGUGUGUGUGUGUUAUCUCUUCUGUAAAUUUAUGAUUUGUGUCCCAUGCAUUUUUAUUAUUAUUCGAUGCACAUUGCAUUUAAAUGCAUGUGGUUGUUUAUGUACAUACAUAUGUAUGUAUGUAUAUUAAUAUAUAAAUAGAUAUUUUUAUUUAGUAGAAUUUCGGCUUUGUUGAUAAGUAAGCAUGUUCAAUGAUAUUUGAACAUAAUAUAAAAAAAUAUGUAACGUUACUAGUGGCUGCAAAAAUUGCUUGCAUGGACGGAAAUCUGUACUCACAAAAGUAUUUAAUUUAGUAUUUAUGUUUAAUGUUAACAAGAGAUAUUAAAUGUAGUAAAGUGACAUACAUAUGUACCAAGGAUUUUUAAAAAAUAGCGGCCACGGUGGUCGCCCACUAAUUUUGUCGAAAUUAAGUGAAAAAGAAUACUAUUAUUUGUCAACACGUAAACAUAAACCACCAGGAGAGUCAGGAUCAAUAUCACCAGGAUGCGCCAUUUACACCAAAACUAAACAUCAAGUACAAACCUUUGGAUUCUUAUACCGACAAAAACGUUCUCGCCUUUAUUCGUAAAUAAAAUUAUCACUGUAUUGAACAGUUAAUUAAAUGAAUAAUGGUAUAAAACGUAUAUCACAACAACGCGUGACCGGAUCCACUAGUGUUAAUAUAUAUAUAGCGACCCUUUGGAGUUAAGUAUAGACAGAUGGAUAAUAAAUACAAUUUGCGCCGCGAUCUUUCUGUCAGAACAACUCACAUAACCCUAACACAUUGAUAUAUUCCAAUAUAUGAGGCGAUGUGAUCUCUCUUCGAAAAUAUGGAUCCAAGGGCCUUAAUACUGGGUUUGCAGACAGGUGUGCAGUAUAUCAACAGGUGCUCGGCAGUUUCCAGCUCCAUGUGCCUCAACCGGCUGGUAAGCUCGUUAGCCAGUUCAUUUGCGGCUCAGCUUCUUUGUAAAAUAUGCUUAAACCACAAACAAGGGGAGACCCCACAAUCUGCGCGAAUUACCGUGGGAUAAACCUCCUCAACAUCGCGUAUAAGGUUCUAUCGAGAGUAUUGUGUGAAAGAUUAAAGUCCACCGUCAACAAACUGAUUGAACCUUUCAGUGUGGUUUUAGACCUGGGGUCGAAUCCGUGCACGGAUUGGCAAACAUACGAAAGAAAAUUUCGUGUACGUCAAACGUAUACGGUGGCUGGCAUUAUGACAUACGAUAGCAAACACAUCGUAAUUGCUUUUAAUUCAUAAUAAUUUUUAAAAUCCACAAUGCUUUGGAUCGUAUUUUUAGAUCACAAUAGAUGUUGAACUGUCAAAACUGUUGUAAACUUUCACUAAACUAACAAAAGCUAAUUAAAUAUCAAAAUGGA